GACGAACGCUGGCGGCGUGCUUAACACAUGCAAGUCGAACGGAAAGGCCCCUUUGGGGGUACUCGAGUGGCGAACGGGUGGGUAACACGUGAGUAACCUGCCCUUGACUUCGGGAUAACUUCAGGAAACUGGGGCUAAUACCGGAUAGGAAUCCUUGCUGCAUGGUGGGGGUUGGAAAGCUUCGGCGGUUUUGGAUGGACUCGCGGCUUAUCAGCUUGUUGGUGGGGUAGUGGCUUACCAAGGCUUUGACGGGUAGCCGGCCUGAGAGGGCGACCGGCCACAUUGGGACUGGGACAGGGCCCAGACUCCGACGGGAGGCAGCAGUGGGGAAUAUUGCACAAUGGGAGGAAGCCUGAUGCAGCAACGCCGCGUGCGGGAGGACGGCCUUCGGGUUGUAAACCGCUUUCAGCAGGGGCGAAGCUUGUGGUGACGGUACCUGCAGAAGAAGCACCGGCUAACUACGUG
rnacentral:rRNA from 1 species